UUUAGGGAAAGUGAAGGGUGAAAAAAGAACGAGAUUCUUGAAUUUCUUAUUCAAAAUGAGUCUGAUGUGGAUGUACGAAAAUGUCUAAAUCAUGAAGGACUGAAGUAGACCACUGGCUUUUAUUUCUAAAAAAGUUUAUGAUUAGUUUUUCCAAACACGUGUUGGGUAUGGUUAUAGUUAUUUUACAAGACACGGAAAAUUUUUUUGUCAGGAGAAUGUGCUGUAAUUCGUUUUGUGAACACGUGUGUCAUGUAAAAAGUCAGCAUGUCUACACCUGUUGAUUCAAAUCCUGAAGCAGUCAUCCCUGAUGAUUUAGUCAUACACUUUCAUUACAAGUAAUGUAACACAAAUUGGUCAUCUCAGCAAUUUAAGCCCUAAUUCUUCAUCGGUCAUUAGACUGGUGCAGGCAAAUUGGGUUUCUCACUCAUAUCAACGAUCUUACAACAAACCAUGGUGUGAAAACAUAAAAGAAACUUGUUCGGUUGUGUGUUGCUCAUCAGCAUACGUCCGAACUACUAUUCAACAACGAAAUGGGAUGCAUCGACGGCCGCUCGUCGAUUUACUGGUUGGGGCAGUUUAGCCUAUGGCAAUAAAUGCUUCUGUUGUGCUUGCCGUUGGAUGAAAUCGAUUGAUACGCCGCUGUCGUGACAAUGGAAACUCUGACUAUCGUUGCCGAAAUCUCGUCUGAACACGCAACACUAAAACUCCGUUCGAGGUAGAUUUACCUGGGUGAUCUUGGCGAAUGUGCUUGAAAAUCAAUUGAUCCUCCUCCUCGGAAUCGACGCUCAAUAGAGUCAUGUUUCCACCUCUGCAAAACGCAUCCGCCCUACUCCAAUCGGGACGCUUCAGUAUUUGACGAUGGAAAAACAAUAACACUUGCUUCCCAAGUUCCAGCAAGGCAUGCUCAUGUUGCCUUGUAGAAACUCUGGACAAUAUUCUAACAAUAACAAUCAACAAUGGGAUGUAUUCAUGCCCUUGGACUAUGGAUUCUUGGCUGAGUGAAGCUCAUUUUAUUAUGGCUGGCCCAACAGGCGGCAAUCGUGGUGGCCAGCAGAGUUAACUUGAAGGAACUGCUCUUCAUUUUGCCGUGCGUGUCAGUUCUAACUACGAAUGUGUUUAGAACUCCUAAAAAUUGUGGAGCGGACGUGUUUUGUGAGUGAUUUCUUUACAAGUUCGCCAUCUUCCCAGAUGUUUUUGGCCAUCACAUCAUAUCUCAUCUAUUCAAUCCCAGAAGAAUUAAGGAAAUCAACAUUUUUUGUUAUCGAAUCACAAAGAAAGGCGGUAAUUUAAUGAUGUCCGAAAAAGGUAUGGAGAAAACGGGAUAAUGACUCAGGUGCCUCGAUGGGCGAUAUCCAACUCGUUACAGUGGCUGAUUUGAUGUUCACCACUAAAAUAAUAGAAUAUUUUUCAUUCUACUUGUGGAAUCAAAGGAAUUCAAAAUUUCUACUGGAGAAAAACAAAUGGCCUGCCAUGCGCUCGACGACAAUGAUCUCCUUAAUUGGUGAAAUCAAAUGAAUUCAAAGCUUAAAAUGGUCAACAAGAAAACGUCAAAAUCAACAAAACGGAGAAAAUAUUUCACUUCGCUACACGAUUAACCAACCCGAGAAAAAUAAACAGGAUUAUGAUCCGUUGCGCUACAAGGCUCAUAACCACAAAUUGAGAAAGUGGAAUUUCACUGCUUCAUUCCUUCAUCAAAGGAGGAUUUGAUUCCACUCAACACAACAUGUUUAAUGAUUAAGAGUUGGUCUCUUGUUCGAAAUGGUCUUGUCCUCUCACUAGCGUCCAACAUCACGUUUAUAUCGAUGACUUAGCCAAAUUCACGUACUAUAUUAUGUAAAAAAACAUUACUAUUGGGGUUCCACAUAAUUUUGGUUUUCUUCUUCUGCCUUCAAGUUUCAUCAUUACAGGAAACAACUGGAUUGUCCCAUGGCCUCUGUAAUCGUUCAUCAGAUUAGUAUGAUGCGCCCUGAUCAUCCGGAUUGCAUAUGUAACUCAACCUCAAGAUUGUCAUUGAUACUUGCGGAAUUCGCAGCCACCAGAGCUUCUGAGGAUUUGCUCAAAUGCCUUUAAUCAACUACGUAAAAAUUGUUCUUUUAGAACAGGACUAUCGGUUGUGUUGAAACUGAAACCAUCAAAACUUCAAGUCACCGACAUGCUUUGCAUACAGUGACCAAGUGUCAGCCCCUCUCGUUUUGAUGGGAUUUAUUUGUGUUGAUCAGAUGUAGGAACUAAUAAAGUCCAUGGCUAUGUAUCACUGAGGAACGGUUGAAGACUCCUGCCAACCUUCAAGAAUUGAACCUCCAGGUUAAAUGAAAUCCUCGAUCUGAACAUAAUCUUCGAUGUUAUUUCCUGGACAUGUUCGCUUGUUAUCAAGCGGAUUUAUCGUUCAAUUCCAGGGCUAUGAGGGUUGAAUAUGUUACUACCGCCAAAGGAAAUAAUGAAAAUGUUCACAUCGGAGUCCACAGCUGCCGUUUGGAAUUCGCUGAAUCGGAAAGAUGAAGUAGAAAACCUUUUUUGGAAACUCGUGGACAGGAUUUGCCGACAUAAAAUCCUACCACCCUAUCAAAAAUCUAUUAACUUGUUAUCUUUUGGUGGCUGGGCGAAUUGAGCAGAUUUUGGGUAGCUUAGGUUUUUCAGCAGAUUCGACUAUAAGCUUUAUUUUCUCGAUAUUGUGCUGAUAUUAUGCAAUUUCAUUAUAUUAUUCAUCAUCGGUUGAUAACAAGUAGGUACAUUUUCAAUGGGAUCUCGUGGCGGUGGCGAUUCUGCCCGUGCAGCAACAACCAACAAAAUCAUUGUAACGAGGCCCGACGGUCUUGCACUACGUGUCGGAUUUAAGCGACGAUAUUCGUUGUCAGAACAGCAGUGACGUCAAUCGCGAAUCGUUUUGUUCCAAUAGUGACAGUCAGCCAUUGAUUUCCCUUCAGCAACAGCAUCAUCAUCAUCACAAUACGGCCAUCUUCACCACCAAUUAAGCAGCCAAAGCCAGCCUCACGAUCUUCCUACCACCAUCAGCUGCGCAUUCAAUGCGCCGCAAUGGAGGACAUUGGCAUCCAAGUUUAAACCAAUUUCACACUGCAUCCUAACAUUCAUAUACGUCACCCAUCCCCAUGGAGUUUGAAGGGGUGCCGUGAUAUUACGCUGAUCGAUACAGCCAGCGAACAGCCAGGAGCCGCGCUCGAACAUGUACUCGUAUGAACAAGAGACGGGCCUGACUGCCCUCAACUUGAAGAACGGUGAGCACAUAUUUGUGGGUAGCGGUCUGGUUUGGAACAGCAACGGAGUUCUGCCGUUCACUUCGCGGAUUGCUGAAAAUGUUUGCAAAAAGACGAGAAGAUGAAAGAAAAUAAUGAUUAAAAAUUAAGGAAAGAAUGUGUUGGUUAUGAGUUGAUUACCCCUGAAAAGACUUUAUUUGCGCAUGUGAGUAAUCAGAGGCGAAAAGGAGAAUUUUUCUCUUUUUCUUACUUUUUCCAUUGGAAAGUGGGAAAGAAACAAAGAAAGAAAACACAUUUAGAGUUGACCGACGGGUUUUUUUAGUCAAAUUUUAUGUAUAAAUAAUUGUAUGUUAAAUUGUAUAUUUAUGUGUGUCUAGAAAAGCAGAAUGUAUCAUCCGUCGCCCCCUAAAUCUUCUCCUUUCCAAUUGAUUUGAUUAUCCCGUUUUGUAAUUGUGUCUGCUCCUGUCUACUACAAUUAUGUCGAUGAAGAAAUAGUACAGGCUGACCCUACGUGCAACGAAAGUUUUAGCCACAAAUGUUAAUUGCCUCGUCUUGCAACUAGUAGUUGAUAUGCUAGGUUUUUACAUUGAAAAUUGGAAUCAACUGUUAGAGUUCCAGGCGGAAAAAAUAGAUUUCGUUAUCCCUGGCAGGCGGAGGGCGCUAACAUCUGCUAACGUCAAAAUUGUCUAUUCCCUUCCGGCAGCUCUCCACGCACCACGUACCAAAGUAGACAGGAUCCCACAAUGUCCUGGUACUAAAUCGAAAGAAAAAUUCUAAAAGGACUGCACUGCAUUAAGUAGAUGUAUCAGCAAAAAUUUAUUACUAACUUGUGUUUUUUCUUCUAUGUUGACUACAAAUCAUUUGGAAUUAGAAUAGGAUUUUGACUGGCGCUGGGUGCCAAACAUGGAUGGUAAUUGGAAGUGCGAUUGGAAAUAUCCAUGAUUUAUUAACGUUGUCUCAUGUUACGGUAUUUUACUAAAGACAAAUUGAAAUGCA
rnacentral:lncRNA from 1 species